CACUGCCAAAGGAGAGUCUCACAGCAAUUCUUGGCCAUCCAGGCAAUUGUGUUGAAAGAACUAUCUGCCUAGCAUCUCCUAGGGGUGAGAGCCAAAAGUUCUCUGGAUGAUGUGUGAUGUGAAGCAAAGCUCAGAUGGUCACCGAGAAGGGAAGAAUUAUGGAGUUACUGGUAUGUUCCACAGGCGUGUCUCAUGUUACAACAUAUAACAUUUCGGACCUCAUCCAAAAAAAGGAGACUUUACAAAACAACACAUUAAAAGACAAUGUAUGUGUCUUUAGGAUGAAAGAAAUGACACCCCAAAACCUCAGAAGCUGCUUAGGUCUGACAGUCUGCCACCACCAAAAGUAAAAGAGAAGGGUGUUGAAGUUCCAGGAGUUGUUGUGACAGAGGGACCCAAAGACACUAAGAGAAACACAAGUGCCUCUCCUGUCAGGGCCACGGAGCAUCCAACUUACUACCAUGCAAUGUGGGUAAACAGAGGGCAAUACAGAACUCAGCUGCUGCUCACAUGUCUAACUGGAUGAUGGAUAUAUUUGGGGGUUGCCAGUUGCUGCAGCUGGGACAAUUGCACCCCUGUCACUAGUCUCUUUAUUAUUCUGAGGUAUGCUUUGCUCCUGGCAGUGGUAGGUGAGUGACUCAAGGUUUUCCUAUGCGCUAAGUAGAAGCUUUUAAGAAUUGGCCUUGUUUUCCAAAAAAGUUCAAAGAAAUUGUGACAAGAAUGGUAAAGUCAAACAUGCUUUCUGAAGCUUAUCUUUUAUUUGGUCCAUACCAUGGAUGUCACUGCUAAAAUUCAUGUCUUUCUAGAACUAAAUGUCUACAUUUAGUUAUUAUGCCACCCAUGUUUGUGACUGGAGCAUAUUGAUCUGAAGAAGAAACAUUGCUCCAGUCCCUGGUAGUCAGGAACCCUAAAUCCUCAUCAUGGUUGAAAAUCAGUCCACUAUCUGACCAAAGCAGGUCCCAAAUCCUGAGCUCUCAGUUAUUCUUUUAUCAAAUAAAGCUAUUUUAAAUCA